UAUUAAAAAAAUUAUCUAUUUCUACUGUUAAAAACUAGCAUGAUUAACGAAAUAGCCAAAUAAUCACGUGUACUUCAUUCUGACGUACAGUGACCAGUUUUUAAUAGUAGAAAUAGAGAGAAUUUUUAACA
rfam:Gossypium arboreum cultivar AKA8401 contig_51820_1, whole genome shotgun sequence.